UUUUUUUUUUGCUUUUUAGGGCCACACCUUCAGCAUAUGGAAGUUCUCAGGCUAGGGGUCAAAUUGGAGCUACAGCUGCCACCCUGUGCCACAGCCACAGCAACUGGGGAUCUGAACCACAUCUGUGACCUGCACCACAGCUCACAGCAACGCUGGAUCCCUGACCUCACUGAGCCAGGCCGGGGAUUGAAUCCGCAUCCUCUUGGACACUAGUUGGAUUUGUUUUCGUUGCAUCACAAUAGGAACUCCUAGGAUUUACUUUUAAAUUUUUUCAUACAUAACACAGCUUGGCAUUAAUUAUAUUAACCAUGUUGUACAUUAUUGUACCCCCAGUGCUAAUUUACCUUAUAACUUCAAUUUUGUACCUUUUCACCACCUUUAUCUAAUUCCCUUUCCUCCCACCCAUUGCCUCUGAUAGUCACAAAUCUGAUCUCCUUUUCUGAUUUUGUUUCUUUUCUUUUUGAAGUUAUUUUGACCUGCAACACUAUAUUAUUUUCUGGUGCACAACACAGUGAUUUGAUAUUUCUAUACAUUUUAAAAUGAUCACCACAAUAAGUCUAGUUACCAUAUGUCAUCAGGCAAAGAUAUUACAUUAUUAUUGACUAUAUUCCCAAUAUUGUACAUUUCAAAGUCAAGACUCAUAUAUUUUAGAACUGUAUGUUUGUACCUCUUAAUUUCCCCCACCUAUUUUACUCAUCUUCUCACCUGUCCUCUUUGCAACCACCUGUUCUCUGUGUCUGUGACUCUGUUUUGUAAUGUAUGCUCAUUUGUUUUGCUUUUUUAAAUUCCAUGUAUGAGUGAAAUCAUACAGUAGUUGUCUUUUUCUCUCUCACUUGUUUCACUUAGCAUAAUACCUUCGAGGGUCCAUCCAUGUUGUUGCAAAUGGCAAAAUUUCAUUCACUAUUAUGGCUGAAUGCUAUUCCAUUGAAUACAUAUGUAUAUCAUAUCUUCUUUAUCCAUUAAUCUAGCCAAUGGAUAAUUAGGUUGAUUCCAUAUCUUGGCUGUUGUGAAUAAUGCUGCAAUGAAUAUAGGGGUGCAUAUAAUCUUUUCUAUUAGCGUUUUUGUUUUCUUGGAAUAAAUACCCAGGAGUGGCUCAUAUGGUAGUUUUAUUUUUAAUUUUUUGAGGAAUCUUCAUACUGUUUUCCAUAGUGGCUGUACCAAUUCACAUUCCCAUCAAUAGUGCACAAGAGUUCCCUUUUUUCUAUAUGCUUGCAAUCACUUGUUAUUUAUGGUCUUCUUGGUAAUAGACAUUCUGACAGGUGUGAUGUGAUAUUUCAUUGUGGCUUUGAUUUAUAUUUCCCUGUGAUUAGUGAUAUUGAGCAUUUCUUAUGUGUCUGCUGGCCAUAUCAAUGUCUUUUUUGGAGAAAUGUCCAUUCAGAUCCUCUGCCCAUUUUUAAAUUGGGUUGGAUUCUUAACCCAUUGCACCACAGCAGGAACUCCAGUGCCUUGCUUUCUUGAUUACUGUAACUUUGUAGUAUAAUUUGAAAUCAGAGAGUGUGAUACCUCAGCUUUGUUCUUUCUCAAAAUUGUUUUGUCUAUUGGCAUCUCUUUGUUUACAUACAAAUUUUUUUUUUUUUUUUUUUUUGUCUUUUUGCUAUUUCUUGGGCCGCUCCGGUGGCAUAUGGAGGUUCCCAGGCUAGGGGUCGAAUCAGAGCUGUAGCCUCAGGCCUACGCCAGAGCCACAGCAACUCGGGAUCCGAGCCGCGUCUGCAACCUACACCACGGCUCACGGCAAUGCCGGAUCCUUAACCCACUGAGCAAGGCCAGGGACCUAACCCGCAACCUCAUGGUUCCUAGUCGGUUUCAUUAACCACUGUGCCAUGACGGGAACUCCUGCAUACAAAUUUUAUAUCUAUUUGUUCGUCUGUGAAAAAUCCUAUGGGUGUUUUGGUAGAGAUUACAUUGAAUCCAUGGAUUUCCUUGGGUAGUAUGGAAAAUACUAUCCAAUAUAACAAUGUUAAUCCUUCCAGUCCUUGAGCAUGGUAAAUCUUUCCAUUUGUUUGUAUCAUUUUCAAUUACUUUUAUCAUUGUCUUAUUAUUUUCUGAGUAUAGAUCUUUUAUCUCCUUAGAUUUAUUCCUAGAUAUUUUGUUCUUUUUGGUGUGAUAGUAAGUGAGAUUGUUUUCUUAAUUUCUCUUUCGGAUACUUUGUUAUUAGUAUAUAGAAAUACAGUAGAUUUCUAUAUAUUAAUUUUUGCAUUCUGCAACUUUACUGAAUUCAUUUAUUUCAAUAGUUUUUUUUAGCGGUGUAUUUAGAAUUUUCUAUGUAUAGUGUCAUGUCAUCUGCAAACAGAUUAUUUCUUCCUUUCCAAUUUGGAUAACUUCAAUUUAUUUUUCUUGUUUGAUUGCUGCAGCUAGGACAGCUAAUGCUAUGUUGAAUAAAAGUGGUAAGAAUGAGUCUCCUUAUCUUAUUCCUUAUCUUAGAGGAAAUGCUUUCAGCUUUUCACCAUUGAGUAUGAUGUUGGCUAUAGGUUUGUCUUAAGUGGCCUCUUCAUGUUGACAUAUGUUUGCUUUAUAUCACCUUUGUUGAGAGUUUUUAUCAUAAAUAGAUAAUGAGGGAGUUCCCUUGUGGUUAAGGAUCUGGCAUUGUCACUGCAGCAGCUCGAGUCACUAUUGUGGCUCAGGUUCAUUCCCUGUCCUGGGAACUUCCACAUGCUGUGAGUGCAGCCAAAAAAAAAAGAUGUUGAAUUUUGUCAGAAAAUUUUUCUGAAGCUAUUGAGGUGAUCAUACAAUGUUUACUCUUCAAUUUGUUAAUGCAAUGUAUCACACUGACUGAUUUGCAUCUGUAUAUAUAAAGUCUUCCUGCCAUACCAGCAGUUUACAAGUUUGCUAAGCAGAACAGCCAGCCUGGCAUCUUUGCCCCAGGUUGAUUCUGGGUCCCCUCCUCCUAAAAUUCCUUCCCCACCCCCAAACAAACACGCACACACAAUCUCACUUGCCACUGCCACCACCACCUCCACCUACAACACCAGGCCCCAAUCCAAAAACUAGAAGAGGCCUUCCUUGGGGAAACAUGACUGUCCCCAGUGCCAUCCCUAACACUGGCCCUGUGCUGACUCAGGACGGGGGAAACCCCGAGAUGCUUCUGCCCAGAAGAGCUCUCAGUGCGAGGAGGAGACAGUCCUAGAGGCAUGUGACACUGACCUGCUCUCAAAGAGCAUCUCAGUUCUAGGGUUCUGGGCCCCCUCCACAAAGACCCAACUGCCCUCCUCACUCCAUACUGGGAAGUGGGUGCCUGGGAAGAGGGUGUUCCCAGGCAGCUCCAGCAGGGAGAGGAGCUAAGAAAUUCUCCCUGACACCCUGAUUAUCUCCACUCCAUUAGGGGCCUCAAGUCUUCCUCCCCCCACCUAGCUGUGGAGGCUUCUGGCCUGUAGGUGGGUGGGACUUGGUCAUAAGGCAGCCAGUUGCAGAGCCCUGGGAGUCUUAUGGCUAUUGCUGGUCCACUGGUAGGUGGAGCCAGGUCCCAGGUUGGCUGGCUGCAAGGUAGGGUGUCCUAGAGCUAGUGCCUGCUGGUGGGUGUGGUAGGACCCUGCAGUUGGCUGAGGGGCCAAAGGCGUUCUGGAGCUGGGGUUGGCCUGCUUCGUGGGUCUGGUCUUGAGAUGGCUGGAUGAGGGGUUGGGGUAAUCCCAGGGCUGGUAUUCCCCUACUUGUGGAUGGAGCUGAGUCCUGGGGUCUCUGGCCACAAGGUUUUGGGUUUCCUGGAGUUGGUGUUAGGCCACUGGUGGGCAGGGCUGGGUCCCCAUGUGUCUGGGGGCUCAGGGGGCCCUAUAGCAGCUUGCCUACUAGUAGGUAGGGCUAUGUCUCCAGCCAGCUAGUUGCUUGGCCUGGGUCAUCCCAGGGCUGGUGCAAAUGUGCUAAUGGACAGGGCCCAUUCCAGUGCUAAUAAGCUAGAGGGAGAAUUCCAAAAUGGCUCUUGACAGCACCAGCAUCCUCAUGGUGGAAACAAGCCCCUCAAAAUGGCUAUUUACAGGAAUUCGAGGUUGCUGUGGUGGCUUGGGUUCAAUCCCUGGUCUGGUGCAGUGGGUUAAGAAUCCAGCGUUGCCACAGCUGCAGUGUAGGUCACAGAUGCGGAAGCUAGCUAGCUUUACCAAACUAGAGGGACUGGAGUUCCCUUUGUGGCUCAGUGGGUUAAGAAUCCGACCAGUAUCCAUGAGGAUGGGGGUUCAAUCCCUGGCCUCACUCAGUGGGUUAAGGAUCUGGCAUUGCUACAAGCUCUGGCGAAGAUUGCAGAUGUGGCUCAGAUCCCACGUUGUGGUGGCUGCGGUGUAGGCCAGCAGCUGCACCUCUGCUUCGACCCCUAGCCUGGGAACUUUCAUAUGCCACAGGUGUGGGCCUAAAAAGACAAAAAACAAAACAAAACAAAGCAAAAACAAAAAAAAAAAAACACCAAAAAACUAAACUGGAGGGAUUAACAGCCCACUAAAGUGGUCUGGAAGCUGUCUGAAAAUUACUUUAAAUUGGAAACAUCUGAACAAUUAGCAGCCACAGAAAGAAAUAUCUGAACUUAAUCAGAACCUCUAGGAAAUACAAUUGUCAUUAACCUUCCUCCAGGAAAGUUUCCUUCUUGGAAGAAGAUUGACCCUUAGCAUUAGGAAGUGUGAACUCAGCGGCCAUUAGUAUCAAAAAACCCAGUAGAACUUCCUUUCUCUGGAAAUUAUAAUUUCCCAUUGAAGCCCUAAACCAUCCUCCUUUAAGCUAUAAUAUAAACCUUUCUCUCUGACUAUUCAGAGUACUCUUCUGACUAUUCUGAGUACUCUUGUGUAUAUAAUAAACUCUUCUCUGCUAAUCUGUCUAUCAUUAGUUAAUUUGCGGUCCCACCCCAACCAGCAACCAGUCAGACUAAAUUGCUAGAGAAGUUUUCUUCCCUUCAAAAAUCCUUAUUUACCUGGGGACACAGUUUAACUCUAUUCUCUAUAUUACCCCUGUGGCUGUGACUUUGUAAUAGCCAAUGGGACAUGAAUGUUGAGGAAAUAAUUAAAAAUAAAUUUACUGUCAAUCCAGGAAACAUCUCCACAAAGGUACUCAAGAAAGAAAAAGAUUCUAUUAUUAUUAUUUUGUUGUUUGUUUUGUUUGAUUUUGGCUGUGCCCAAGGCACACACAAGUUCUGCAUCAGGGAUCAAACCCAUGCCAUAGCAGUGACUGGAGCCACAGCAAUGACGAUGCCAGAUCCUUAAUCUUCUGAGCCACCAGGUAACUCCAAAUCUUUAUUAUUGAAUAAGCAUUAAACAAUGCCUAUCACAGGUAGUGGCUAAAGAGAUUGCAAAAUUAGAAAAAAAAAUCUUAUCCUUUUAUAUAUAUGUGUGUGUUAAUUAUCCUUAUCAAAAGGGAAAAUAAAACUUCUCCUAUUUUUUCAACCAAAAAUGUGUUGGAGCCAAGCACCGGUGGUGGAACAGUUAAGUAGGAAGUCGUGCUCCCGGAGGUUUGUAUUUCAAGAAGGUGGUGCCAAGGAAGAGGUUCCUGAAAUGUAAAACUGGCAAGAAGCCGAAUUUAGCUUUUAAAAAGUUGUACAUACAUCUCUAGGAGACACAGAAAGCAUUUAUGUCUUCACGUUUUCCAAAGGAAGUGCUAAAAUGAAGGAAGAUUGGGAAAUCUCUUUUUCCCUUUUGGCACCACAGAAAAUUUUAAAUUAAAACUAUUAUUAUUAUUAUUAUUUUGCCUUUUUUAGGGCCUCUCCCAUGGCAUAUGGAGGUUCCCAGGCUAAGGGUCGAAUUGGAGCUGUAGCCCCUGGCCUACGCCAGAGCCACAGCAACACGGAAUCUGAGCCACGUCUGCAACCUACACCACAGCUCACGGCAACACCAGAUCUUUAACCCACUAAACAAGGCCAGGGAUCGAACCUGCAAUUCGAUCGUGGUUCCUAGUCGGGUUCAUUAACUACUGAGCCACGAUGGGAACUCCCAAAUUAAGACAAUUUUAAACAUUUGGUUUGUAUUUACCCUCAUGUGUUCAAAAGUAAUGUGCGCCUCCUGCAGGCAUGGCCCAUUAAUAUGCUCCGCACAUGAUAAUCCAUACUCUUUUAAUCCUUCUAACAUCUUGAUUCAGAAGAGUUCAGGAGGGGUUCCCAUCAUGGCUCAAUGGAAACGAAUUGACUAGCAUCCAUGAGGACGCAGGUUCGAUCCCUAGCCUUGCUCAGUGGGUUAAGGAUCCGGUGUUACCAUGAGCUGUGGUGUUGGUUGCAGAUGUGGCUCAGAUCCAGCAUUGCUGUGGCUGUGAUGUAGGCCGGCAAGUACAGCUCCGAUUCAACCCCUAGCCUGAGAACCUUCAUGUGCUGCAGGUAUGGCCUUAAAAAGACAAAAAUUAAAAAAAAAAAAAAAA
rnacentral:lncRNA from 1 species